rnacentral:rRNA from 1 species
AGAAUAUAUAGGUGAUGUAACAUAAGGAUUGGUAUUGCGAUAGGGAGUUAGGUUAAAAUAAGAAAGUACCGUGAGGGAAUUGGGGUAAUUAUAUAAGGAGAUGGGUUGAGUAAAUCUUACCUUUUGUAUCAGGGUUUGUUAAAAAAAGUAAUUGAUAUUGUUUUCCCGAAAGUGUUUGAGUUAUUAAGUUGGUGAAUUAAUGUGGCAUAAUUAUUCUGGACGGCUUAAUGGAAGUGAGAUGCUAAUCGAAAACAGGGAUAUCUGGUUUUUGGAGAAAUAACUUUAGGUUAAUAAAUAGGGAUUAAUAAGUUUCUAUUAGGGUAGGCUAUUUGGGAUAAUCUAGGUAGGCUAGUUAUAGGAUUUAAGAGGUGAGAUAGGUUAGAUGCUUGAGAGCAGCUUAGUCGUUGCAGACAACUAUUGGAACAACAGCAUUGAGGAAGAUUGAUUUUGGGUUAUUUGGAAGUUGAGUUGAAUUACAGGAUAAAAUUUUUUAUGAUGAAAUUAGUAAAAGGAUAUGAAGAAAUAUUUGGUGAUGAAUGAGGUGGAAAGUUUAUUACUUGUAAUAGUCUUUUUUAAGGAAUUAGGCAAUUAAUUCUUUUCGCCUGUUUAUCAAAAACAUGGUUUUUUGUUAUGAUAGAAAAUCGGACCUGCCCGAUGAAAGGAUUCAAUGGCCGCGGUAUUUUGACUGUGCUAAGGUAGCAUAAUAAUUUGCUCUAUAAUUUAGAGCUGGAAUGAAAGGUUUGACGAGAGAGAAGCUGUCUAAGAGAAGAGAAAGUUGAAUUUAGGUUGGUUGUGAAAAAACAACCAUAGCAUUAUGGGACGAGAAGACCCUAUUGAGUUUAACAGAGGUUACUUAAUGAAAUUUAGUUGAUGAGAGCUUUAUUGGGUAUCUGUGUGUUUAACUGGGGCGGUGCUGAGAGAUGAAAUCUUUUGGUUAAUGUAGGAAUAUGGAUUAGGAUCCAAUUGGGACGAUUGCUAGGAAGAUUAAAUUACUGUAGGGAUAACAGCGUAAUAUUAUUGGAGAGUUCAAAUUGAUAAUAAGUUUUGCGACCUCGAUGUUGAAUUAAAUUUUCCGCUUGGCGAAGGGGCUAAGAGGGAUAGUCUGUUCGACUAUUAAAUGUUUACAUGAUUUGAGUUCAGACCGGCGUGAGCCAGGUUGGUUUCUAUCUUUAGUGUGGUGGUAUCCAUUUUAGUACGAAAGGACCAAAUGGAGGUUUGAUUUAAAU